rnacentral:rRNA from 1 species
UACAUGUGGGGCAAGCGUUGUUCGGAAUUACUGGGCAUAAAGGGUGCGUAGGCGGCUUGAUAAGUCAGUGGUGAAAUCGUCCGGCCCAACCGGACACGUGCCAAUGAUACUGUCGAGCUUGAGUGCGUGAGGGGUGGGGGGAACGAGCAGUGUAGCGGUGAAAUGCGUAGAUAUUCGGAAGAACACCAGUGGCGAAGGCGGCUCACUGGUCCGGUACUGACGCUGAUGUGCGAAGGCGUGGGGAGCAAGCAGG